UACUAAUUGAUGAAUUGUGUACUAUUCAAGGAAAUGAAGAACCCAUAAACCUGACUUUCCACAAAAACACUAAUUCAGUUUUAGGAGGCUUUCUUGUGAUUCUUUCAAUACGCAUUUGUAAUUUCCAGAUAGAGGGGAAAAGCAACAGGGGAAUAAUAUGAUGAUCGGAAUUCACUACUAUUAAAGUCAUCAGGUAUUUUUGUGCAUUCAUAUGCCAACAUGAUAAAAGGUUAUUGAUUAAACCACUUCAAUCAACAAACUAUUUACUUUGAUCAAUAAUUUUAUAUUAUAUUCGGCCCUUCAAGAAAAUGUUAAUUCCUGCAAUUCUUUCCCAUCAGCACAUUAAAAAAACAGAAAGUCAAGUUUCAAAGAUCAGAAAGUUGGCAACAUGCCCAGCUCUUUACUAUCAUAGGAUUAACAUGUAAUGCUUUGACACUUUCACCAAAAUCACUCUUUUCAAAAUCUAAAGUAAAACCAAUUAAAAAUUAACUGACACAACAAAGUAUCAACAGAAGCCAAGACAAACAAGCAAUUCUCAUUUGAGAAAUACAUAGACAACGGUUUUGCGAAGUUAACAAAAACUACAUGAUAUAAGCCAGGGAAGGGAAAAGUGGAUCCUAAUGUACCCGAACAAUAGAUAAAAUGCAGAAUAUGAACUGCGUAGUUCAAUAACAAAGUAUUGCAUCGACUUACCUGAGCAGGAUCAAUCUCAAAUGAGUGAGCUUCUUUCUCUUCAGCUGCAGCAGCCAAUUGUGCUUCAUUUAGCAACUCCUCAUGCCUACCUUCAAUUUCACCCAAUGACUUGCUAAUUGUAAAUCCAUCAUUUCCCUGCAUCCCCUAAUAAUAAAAAUAUUUGCGGUCCCCAAAAUCAUCUCAAUAUAAGAAAUUGAGGACAACAUUCCCAGAGAUGAAUUGACUAAAGAAAAUAACAAGGAAAAUAAAAAAUUACAGACUGGAUACUUACAAGAUGCUUGAGAGUAGACAUUAGAAUAGAUGUAUAUUCUACCAUUAGUGCAUUACUAAAUAUACCUUUUUGCUAUUGAAGAUUUCAACCAAGGCCUCUUUUAAUACCUGUUCCAAAAAUGCACAGGCAUACACUGAUCAUAUCUGAAUUUUAAAGAGUAAAACCAGUGAAUCUGUAAUAUGUUAUUACCUCUUGCUUGUCUGGAAGCUUAUCUCCAUUUAGCAAAACUAGAUUAAGACUCCCAAAUUGAUCAUAAUAUGACAGGUCAAUCUGCUCAACAUUUUCACCAACACAAGCAAUUAGAAGGAAGACGAAGUUCAGUUUUACAGGCAGGAUUGAACAAAGAUUUAGAUUUUAGACUUGUGAAAAAUCAACACCAACUCACUGAGAGAUCUAUAACAUUGGGGCAGAAGCAACAUUUUAAUACUUUAAGAAAGUGUUUGGAUGGAGGAUUCAAACUAGGGAUUUUGCUUUGUCAGCGGAUAUCAAAUUUCAAUUUUAUAUCUUCAUUUGGGUGUAAUGAAGGAUUUUUAAAAUGUCUGAUUAAUAAAUGUGGGAAUCAGAAUCUAAAGGAAUCAAAAUUUGUUCAAAUAACACCUCAAAAUUUAUCAUUCAAAUAACAACCCUGUUAAUCUUUCUCUUUUUUGUUUUUUAUUUCCCAACUCACCACCACCAUCAUGCCAUUUCCACCAAAAUUGUUACAGUCCACCACCAACAUCAACACGACACCACAAUAACCAUCGCCACGGCCACCAUCGUCACCAUGACCAGUACCACUACUAAUACAACCACUACUAAUACAACCACUGUAGCUGGUGCCACUGCCACCAUCAUUACCAAGACCACUACCACUAUCAGUACAGCCACUGUAGCCCCUAUCACUAUCAGUACAACCACUAUAGCCCCUGGCACGAACACAAUUAUAUGUCAACAUUCCUAUUUCACAAAAAUCCCACUUUCUUUAAUAAUGUUAAUGGUGACUUUCAAAUGUAAAGAUAUACUUGCUUAAUUUACAAUUCUUUGUACUUGAGGAUUCCAAUAUUUACAAUUCUUCAUCCAAAUAUACUCUGAGAUAAUUUCCCUUGAGAAUAAAACUGAUACAAUUUGUUCCAACCAACCAUUUCAACAUUUUGAUGCACUUUGAUUUACUUAUGGCAUAAGAGGAAUGACCAAUUCAUACAUCUUUUUAGUGUGCAAACCAAUAGGCUAGGAAAGUCUUAUCAGAGAAUCCUUCACCUGACAUGGAAAUAAAAUAAAGUACUCUGGUAUGGACUCAUUAUCUAGAAUUCAUGAAGUCAAUGGAACAUACCUCAUCAAUAAAAAUCAAGAAUGAUUGAUCAAUAUUACAUGAAUCAAAAAGCCAAUUGAGCACAAUAAUAUGACAAAAAGCUCACUUAAUAUAUAAUAAGAUAUAUCAAUCAUAAAUCAUGAUUCAUAAUACUGGUAAAGCAAUUUUAACCAAACAAAAGCAAGAAAAAACAUUAAACUUGUGAUUAUAGCCAAACAAUACCUAAAAUUGCAUCAGAGACAAUGUAACAUCUAAUUUUCUUUAACCUACGGUAGCAGAAGAGGGAGACUGACCUGUGCAGGAGUAAGGGUUUGGUCGUCCUUCUCCAUCCUCCUCGCAAAAAAAUCCUCCUUUCCGCGGCCGAAGCCUCCAAUUGUGCGCGCGUAUAAAUUUAGACCUUGACAGAACACCUCCGCCCCAUCCACCGCUCCUAAAAUCCCCCACCGACUGAUUCCGCUUCCCAUCAGAUGCAGAUCUAAAUCCUCCGUCAUCGAAAUUAUCCCAAGUAUAGCCCAUCUUCUGUUUCUGGUUCUUGCACCUGUCGAAACAAUUAUAAAAAAUAGCAGAGAAUGUAGAAAUUAGGGCUUGACUCGGUAUGAGAGAUUUAGGCUAUUGUAUAAGAUAUUAAGGGUAUGAGAGAUUUAGGCUCUUGACUCGAACUUAGUUGAUUCCUAAAGAGAGAGGAAAAACCCAGAUAUGUAAAGAAGAAACCUAUCUAACCCAUCUCCUCUCUAAUUGAAACAUCGAAUUUUGGCUAAGGAAGAAAGGUUAAACCCAAUUGAUCUCUAUUCUACGCUUUCCAGACCACGCACGAACACAACUCAGUACUCUGUUAAAAAAAAAAAGAGUUUUAUAACAUUUUAUAUGUAAAAUUAUUAUUUCAAAAAUUAAAGAUAAAUCUAAAUUUAAAUUUAAGGAUAUUAUAAAUUUAAUUAUAACAAAUUAAAAUAUAACUCUUUUGUAGAACCAAAAAGUAAUAUUUUAACAUUUGUAAUUUAUUCCAUAAAAAGAGUCAUAAUUAUUAUAAUUUUGUUUACUAACAAUUUAUAACAUUUUAAAUUUUAAAUUAUUGUAACUUAAUAUUUUAAUAAAUACAAUUAAUAUUUUAAAUUACUUAAAAAUUAUUAUUAAGAANNNNNNNNNNNNNNNNNNNNNNNNNNNNNNNNNNNNNNNNNNNNNNNNNNNNNNNNNNNNNNNNNNNNNNNNNNNNNNNNNNNNNNNNNNNNNNNNNNNNUUACUAUUUCAAAAUAAUAAUUAGAGGAAAUUAAAUUUCAUUUAUUAAUUAUUUGGGGUCUUACAUUGUUGCUAUAUUAAAACUUGUUCAAUGCUUUGUUAACGAAUUAUAUUGUUGUCAAAUUAAAAUUUGACAUUCUUUUUGUGUACGUGACCGGAUCAAUGUCCCCAUAGCAAAUAAUGGCAAAAAUACAAAAAACUAAAAUAUUAUUAACUUAAUAAAAUCGUCCACUACAUAAUCAUUCAUUAUCUUUACAAUUAACCAUCUAAAACUACCACAUUUCUUCAAUCAAAGUAUAUAUCUACAUAUAUAGAGAGAGUACACUUCAUAAUUUCGUCCAUUGUCUUCCGUAAACGUAGCACGAAAAUUUGAUACACAGUAUUGUAAGGCAGAUCGUAGAAGCAGUCUUCCUACACAUUUAAAAAUAAUAGCAAGUCAGAAAAAUAAAGCAAAUAGGUCACCAGAGACACUUAGUGCCAAAAUCAAUACACAAACACAAUAGAGUUGCUACGUGGUACAAUAUCAAGGCUUGGCUCCUAUUUCAUAAUACUUUAGAAUACCACCAAUUUCUUGUUCAAUUUGAGUAACUAAACAAUAAAUAUGGUUGGCACAUCAAUGCAUAAUCACUCUCCAACUUGGUUAUAGCACAAGUUAGAACAAGUACACCACUUUCCAUUGCCAAAAAUAUUUUCCAUCAUUGAAGAAAUUGAGUAGAUUCUUUAAUCACUCUCCUCUGAGUAAACUUCUCUCAUAAUAGAGUAGAUUCUUUAAUCAUUAAAACGUUGAAUAUCUCGCCUUUUCAUCACAUGGUGAAGGAGGUAGGUCUGCUGGCUAGUUUACUCUUGAAUUUUCUUUUAGAUUCUACCCGCACUUCUAAAAUGAGGAAACAAAUUGAGAAGGAAUAGUUUCUUCAAUUGUAAAAUAUGAUUUGAUUUUAUACCAACACUAAACAAUUAACCAAUAACUGAAGCUUAGAAUUAAUCAGUUCAUGGAACAGACAAAGUAAAUGUAUGUGUCCACUAUUUCUUUCUUUUUCUUUUUUCUUUUCUUUUUGUGUGCGCGCGCACGCGUAUGGGUUGGGUACACAUCAUAUGACUGAAAAUUAGAUAUUAUUAAGAACAAUUAAUAAAACACUUACAUCCCACAUUCUUAGCUGCAAGGACUCCCGAGGGUGCAUCUUCAAAAACAAGAACCUUCUGUGGCUCUACUGGUCCACCCUGUUUUCUCACAAAUUUUCAUUACAAAGGAAGCCAACAAACUUGAUAUAAUCAGCUCAUCACUUAGUUGUUUUACACGUAAAUUAACUUGUGAAUUAGUUAAAAGUGCAUGAGAAUAAUUACCUCAAAUCUUUUGGCUGCAGCAAGGAAAAUAUCUGGUGAUGGUUUGCCUUGUUUAACUUCAGGAUCAUCACCAUUAACAAUGUGAUGCAUCAAUGAGAACAGUUCUCCAAAUUUUUGUGUUUUCAAUUCAAAGUGAUAUCUCUUAGAACUGUAAAAACAUAUAAGAUGAGUAAUGCUCAUGACAUUCUUUACAUUUCAUAGUUCAAGUGUAUUUUCAUCCUCCGAUCAUCUCUACUUAAAGAAAUAGGGAAAAGUAGGUAAUUUGAAAGAAUGUAUCAUACCCUGUUGCCACAUAUAUUGGUAUUUUGUUUGCAUGGAAAUGCUUGAUCAAACGACCAUCCCCUAAAACAGGCAAAGAAAAUAGUGAAAAAGAAACCUUUUCUAAUUCAAUAGUAAUGCUCACAAACUAUAUGUUAAUCGCUAUACAAACUAUUAGUAUAAGACUCGGCAAUUAGUUAUUAUUAUUGUCAACUGUUAAUCAAUACUUGUUCUUUUGUUUUCCUCUCCAGGGUUUGGGUGGAAGAUCAUUAAGAAAACUACCAUUCUUGGCUCAUGCAACGCUUGCCAGUCCUUGCAGUUGUGACUUAGGCAAGUUCUUGAGUACAAUGAUAGAUACAGUUAGAAGGGAGCAAUCUGAAAUACCUGAUUGAGUACAAACAAUACAGGAGGUAUAAUAUUUUUAUUUUUGAUGCUAAGACUUUAGUUCUACCCUGCAGCAAUUAUGAGCCCUGGAUUGAGUGGAAAGCUAUUGAAGAACAUCUAUUUCAGCUCGUUAACCAAAAUAGUUGGUUAUCCUCCGUAAUUCUGUUGUACAGUGAUAGAUACAAAAUGGGAGUAUCACAAAGAAACAAGAUCCUCUAAAGUAGCAGUGGUGUUCCUCUACUCAAGAUCACUCAUUUUAUAACCCUUUAACAUCCUAGUUAUUAAGAAAAAAUCUUUAACAUUCCCAAACAGGGUUCAUUAAGGAAGAGACAAACCUAAAUUCAACCAAAGAUAAAACCAAAUGAGAAACAACUCACAGUAUCAUUUCUGAAGUCAUACUCCUCGAGCAUUGGAUAGUUUAAAGCAUUUGGCAAGCAACGCUGCUUUACAUUUUCAACCUGUCAUUAUGAAUACUAAUUGAUGAAUUGUGUACUAUUCAAGGAAAUGAAGAACCCAUAAACCUGACUUUCCACAAAAACACUAAUUCAGUUUUAGGAGGCUUUCUUGUGAUUCUUUCAAUACGCAUUUGUAAUUUCCAGAUAGAGGGGAAAAGCAACAGGGGAAUAAUAUGAUGAUCGGAAUUCACUACUAUUAAAGUCAUCAGGUAUUUUUGUGCAUUCAUAUGCCAACAUGAUAAAAGGUUAUUGAUUAAACCACUUCAAUCAACAAACUAUUUAC
rnacentral:lncRNA from 1 species